UGCUUGUUUACUUUUUUCUUCUUCUUCUUCUUCUUUUUCUUCUUCUUUUUUCUUGUUUUCUUCUUCUUCUUCUUCCUUUUCUUCUUCUUCUUCCUCUUCUUCUCUUCAUUCUCUUCUUUCUGUUUAUUAUUCCCUCUCUGAUUCAUUUUCUUCUCCUUUUUCCUUCUCAUAAUUAUUCUAUCUCGUCUUCACCCAUAUUCUUCCUCCUCCUCCUCCUCCUCCUCCUCCUCCUUCUCCUCCUCCUCCUCCUCCUCCUGAUGAACUUGAUUAAACCAGUAAGCCAGGCAGCCUCGUUGUAAUCCUCUAAUCUUUCUGUUGGCUGAUCUUCCACGUUUCCAGGUUUGCUCAUUCGUCAUACAGAUCACAUCCAGGCGCUGCGUCUUGCUCCCACCCAUUUAAAAGUAGCUGACUAAGUCUCUGUUUUCACACCUGUCUUUAUGAGUGAAAGUCGCAUAUGCAGAGUUUUCCUUCUCUUGUUUUAUUUUUUGUGGUGUUUAUCUUUGGCUAAUGAAUUUCUUGGAAGGGGCUUGACUCACCUUUAUUUUCACCUUUGUUUUCCUAGUGUGACUCUAUCCUGAGAGUGAAAGUAGCGAGUUAAGUUUUCCUUCUUUCGUUUAUUUUUAGUGUUUUCGUUCAAUGAGCCACUCACAAGGACCUAAAUUUACCUUUGUUUUCCUAAUGUUAUUGUAGUCAUCUUUAAGAGUGGAAGUAGCAUGUUAAGAGUUUUCCUUUUCUCUUUUGUUUUAGUGUUUUCGUUAACAUACUUAAUUAUUCACAAGUUUGAGCUUAAUUUAUCAUUGUUGUUUUAUCGUUCUAAGUUUUUGACUGAUAUAAAGAAUGUGGUGUGGCAGCCUUUUCUUCUUGCUCUUUAUUCUUUAUUCGAUUUCUUUCAGUGACUCACUCGGUCAUUGGGGAAAAAUGGUUUGCUUUUAUAGUGUUACGCACUUUUUUAUCUUUUCGGCUAAUAUUGUAAAAAUGUUGGUGGUGUGUUGAGAUUUUUUUUUUUUUCGUAUCAGUAUUCACAUUCCUUCUAUACUUCACUCAGCCACUUUGUCUUUAACCCUUGUUGUUGUUUUCUUUUUAGUUUUACUUUUGCGGGGGUCAUGUUUCUUAGGUUAGGUUAGGUUAGGUUAAAGGCCCCUCUUAGCAAAAUAAUGAGACAGAAUCAUCACUCACACAAACCAUUUCAUAAUAUAUAUCAACGCAUUUGUGAUCAGUUUAUGCAUCAUCUAUUUUGGGAGGUUUCUAUCAUGGCAGAAAUUUGGCCCAUCGCUGGUACACGGUAAAGCCACAAAUUUGGCCCGUCGCUGCUACCGGGUUAAAUAUGUUGGUGUUAUGAGUUUGCUUCUCGUUAUUGGUAUAUGUCUUCGUUCACUUGGUCGCUCAGUCCCUUUUUUUUUUUUUUUUUUUUCCUCGAUUAAUUUUUAUGAGAAUGUUGAUGUUAUGUCGCCUAUGUUUUUCUUCAUCAGUAUCUUUCUUUGUUCCUCACUCGCUCACUCUCUAGGAGCUGAAUUUAUCUGUUCUUUUUUCCAUUCAUUGUUUUCUUUUCGAUUUGUUUUUGUAUUCAAGUAUGCACGCGUUACGUCGUGAGCUUGUUAUUUUCUUUAUCACCGUCUGUCUUCGCUUCAUUAUUCACUCAGUCAACAAGAACUGAGUACCUUUUUGUUGUUUUCUUCACUUUUUACUUUCGAUUUGCUUUUAAAUGUGCGGGCGUUGUGUCGUGAGUGUUUCGUUACCAGCGUCUGUCUUCGUUUCAUUACUCAGUCAAUAGGAGCUUUUCGUCACUCUUUUUCAUUUGUUUCUUCACGUGCGGGUGUUAUGACGUGAGGGUUUCAACAUCAGCGUCUGUCUUCGUUUCAUUACUCAGUCAAUAGGAGCUUUUCGUCACUCUUUUUCAUUUGUUUCUUCACGUGCGGGUGUUAUGACGUGAGGGUUUCAACAUCAGCGUCUGUCUUCGUUUCAUUACUCAGUCAAUAGGAGCUUUUCGUCACUCUUUUUCAUUUGUUUCUUCACGUGCGGGUGUUAUGACGUGAGGGUUUCAACAUCAGCGUCUGUCUCCGUUUCAUUACUCAGUCAGGUAAUAGGAGCUCAGUGCGUUUGUGUUUUUUUCAAUCUUUUUUUUUAAUUUUGUUUUUAUAAGUGCAGGUGUUAAGUAGUCAGUGUUUCUUUAUCAGCGACUGUCUCCGUUCCAUUAAUCACUCAGACACUACUAAGAGCUGAGCUUAUCUUUGUUUGUUUUUUCAUUCUGUUUUUCUUUGACUUGCUUGAAUGUGGUCUGGGUCUGGGCAGGAUGGGUCUGGUCUGGGUUGGGUCUGGCCUGGGCAGGUUGGGUCUGGUCUGGGCAGGUUGAGUCUGGUCUGGGUUGGGUCUCGCCUGGGCAGGUUGGGUCUGGUCUGGGCAGGUUGGGUCCGGUCUGGGUUGGCUCUGCUCUGGGCAGGUUGGGUCUGGUCUGGGUUGGGUCUGGUCUGGGCAGGUUGGGUCUGGUCUGGGCAGGUUGGGUCUGGUCUGGGCAGGUUGGGUCUGGUCUGGGCAGGUUGGGUCUGGUCUGGGCAGGUUGGAUCUGGCCUGGGCAGGUUGGAUCUGGUCUGGGCAGGUUGGGUCUGGUCUGGGCAGGUUGGGUCUGGUCUGGGUUGGGUCUGGUCUGGGCAGGUUUGGUCUGGUCUGGUCUGGGCAGGUUUGGUCUGGUCUGAUCAGGUUGGAUUUGGUCUGGGCAAGUUAGGUUGUCAGGUUAGGUCUGGUAUGAGAAUGUUCGGCUGUCAGGUUUGGUCUGGUAUGGGCAGAUUGGGUUGUCGGGUUUGGUCUGGUCUGGGCAGGUUUGGUUAGGUUUGUUAGGUUUGGUCUGGUCUCGGAAGGUUAGGUUGUCGGGGUGGGUCUGGUCUGGGCAGGUUAGGUUAGUUGAUUGUCAGGUUAGGUCUGGUCUGGGCAGAUUAGAUUAGGAGGCUGGGUUUAGUCUGGGCAGGUUAGUUUUGCAGGUUGGGUCUGGUCUAGGCAGGUGAGGUUGGCAGGUUGGGCCUGGUCUGGACAGGUGAGGUUGGCAGGUUGGGUCUGGUCUGGACAGGUGAGGUUGGCAGGUUGGGUCUGGUCUGGACAGGUGAGGUUGGCAGCUUGGGUCUGGUCUAGGCAGGUGAGGUUGGCAGGUUGGGUCUGGUCUGGACAGGUGAGGUUGGCAGGUUGGGUCUGGUCUGGACAGGUGAGGUUGGCAGGUUGGGUCUGGUCUGGACAGGUGAGGUUGGCAGGUUGGGUCUGGUCUGGACAGGUGAGGUUGGCAGGUUGGGUCUGGUCUGGACAGGUGAGGUUGGCAGGUUGGGUUUAGUCUGGACAGGUGAGAUUGGCAGGUUGGGUCUGGUCUGGACAGGUGAGGUUUGCAGGGUGGGUCUGGUCUGGAGGUUGUCAGGUUUGGUCUGGUUUGGACAGGUGAGGUUGGCAGGUUGGGUCUGGUCUGGAGGUUUUCAGGUUUGGUCUGGUUUGGACGGGUGAAGUUGGCAGGUUGGGUCUGGUCUGGAGGUUUUCAGGUUUGGUCUGGUGUGGAGAUUGUCAGUUAGGUCUGGUCUGAAGGUUGUUAGUUAGAUCUGGUCUGGGCAGGUUAGGUCAGGUAAGCCAGGUAAGGUUUCCGGAAAACAAAAAUCCUGACACCUCUAAGAUCACGUGUUGCAUAGAUUAGGUAUGACACAAAAUUACACAAUAUUAGGUCCAGACCAGACCCAACCUGCCAACCUCACCUGCCUCGACCAGACCCAACCUGCCAACCUAACCUGCCCAGACCAGUCCCAACCUGCCCAGACUAAACCCAGCCUGCCAAUCUAAUCUGCCCAGACCAGACCUAACCUGACAAUCAACUAACCUAACCUGUCCAGGCCAGACCCACCCCGAUAACCUAACCUUCCGAGACCAGACCAAACCUAACAAACCUAACCAAACCUGCCCAGACCAGACCAAACCCACCCCGAUAACCUAACCUUCCGAGACCAGACCAAACCUAACAAACUUAACCAAACCUGCCCAAACCAGACCAAACCCGACAACCCAACCUACCCAUACCAUACCAAACCUGACCAAUCACACAGUAUUAGCAUUUUCUGUCAUAUUUUAGUGUCCGGAUAUUGAUGCUCGUUCAAGGGUGAAGGCCCAGCACUGAGGAACUUUUCUUCUCUAGUGUUUUAUUUAUUUUUUCCCUCAGUUUUCCAAUGGUGUCUUUGUCUCCUGCUCUGGUCAGGUGUUACAGAAGGGUUUCCUGGAAUCCUGUCUAGUUUUCAAGUUCAUUUAUCGUGGGAAGUCCGCUCACAUUUUUUUUCUUUUUCACUCGCUCACUUCCUCCUCAACUUUGACUCCUUUUCCCCUUACAUUUCCUCCUCCUCCUUCUUCUUCUUCAAUUCUUUUCCUUUUCUUCCAUCCCUCUUCUUUUUCUGCUUCUCUUUUCCUUCUUGUAAUGCAGAAAGCUUUGGAGGAAUUUGCUCUCUGGUUAUGCUCAUGCAAUUCUUUCUCUUUAAAACAUAACAGUAUCAUCUUGUGGGGUCUUUUUUUGUGUGUGUUGGUGUAAAAGCUUCAUUUUCUCUUUCUUCAUCUUCUUUUCAUCUUCUUUGUUUCUGAUUAUACUUUUUCUUUUGUUUCUGCUUCUUCAUCUUUUUUAUUAAUUUUAUCUCUUGUUUUGCUUCUUCUACUUCAUAUUUUUCCUACAUGGUAACUUUUUCUAACCUGUCUUCUUCGUUUCAAAAGCCAUGCCCAAAACUUUCCUUCUUUGCAGGUAAUCGACAGUUACGCGAGAUUUUCGGGGUAAAGUUUCCACACGUGUUCCAGGCGCGGCGGUGGGAGUUUUCCUUUGUGCGGCGGCGCGGGCGUGUGCUUGCGUCAUUGCCUCGUGUUCUGGGAGGCAGAGUCGGCGUGUCGGCAUCGUCCGGCGGAGCAUUUAAAGGUUACGUCAGGCCGCGGAUGAAAUUCUUAUCGCCGGAAAAGAUAACAUUAUCGCCUCAUGCUCACACUUCUCGCCUUCUUUUGUCUUUAUCUAUUGAUUUGAGGGUUUUAACACUUUCCCUUUCAAGGUUUUGGGGUGUCAUGGUGUUGUAUGGGUUAUGUAACACACACACACACACACACACACACACACACACACACACACACACACACCUGUCCUCUCACAUUUCAUGUCUAUGUACUGAAGGCUUUGAGUUUUCACUUUAAAUUUCUGUGGGCAUUAUGAUUAAUUAUUAUUGGAGCUGUCACACACACACACACACACACACACACACACACACACACACACACACACACACACACACACACGUGUCUUCCCGCCCUAACCUAACACCUGUGACACAACUGCCUCAACACAACACAAGUUCAACAAAGAAAUUACUCCAAGUUUCCCGUACUACUGCAGCUAUACACACACACACACACACACACACACACACACACACACACACACACACACCACACACACACACACACACACACACACACACACAGGUAAGAAAAACUCAACCCCCGCUACCUCAAACCUGGUAUGUGUUUAACGGGAAGAACAGGUAAACGUGA